GAGCUCCUUGCUCUUGGCAUGCGGGGCGGCGUUGCCCAGGGACUGCAGCGAGCACGCCGAGCGCUGGUAGUCGCCCUCCAGGUCUCUCACCCAGGCAGAGUCUAGCCUGGAGAAAAAAACCACAGGAUCUCCGAAAGAGAGAGGAAGGAGAAGAAAGUUGAACAGGGAACCUUCUCCUGUGAGGAGCCUUCUUUUUCCCCUCCCACCUCACGAAGACAACAACAGCCUGACCUAGAAACUUCCUGAAUAUUUUUCACCUCCAGAGCCAGCAGAACCGAGCCUCCUCCAUGGCCCUGCAGCAGUCCAAGGGUGGCUGAUUGCUCUGUUUCCUUUGAUUUCUCCAAAAGAAGCAAAGAAGAGAGAAACUGGAUAACUGCUGGACUUUUCUACCAAGAGAUUCGAAAGUGCUUCCUGAAUGAGAACAUCUUUUCCGAGGGCAAAAAAGAAAGUCAACAGAGCAAUCAGAACAAUAUUAUUCUCUGGGUUGGAAACAGGGUACCUUGUUUACUGAAGUUUUCCAAGGCAAAAAAAAAAAAAUCAUUAUUUUAAUGCAGACUCUUCAAACUGCAGAAAAAAUAAAU